UGCAAGUCGAACGGUGAUGCCCAGCUUGCUGGGUGGAUCAGUGGCGAACGGGUGAGUAACACGUGAGCAACCUGCCCCUCACUUCGGGAUAAGCCUUGGAAACGAGGUCUAAUACCGGAUACGAGCACUUACCGCAUGGUGGGUGUUGGAAAGUUUUUCGGUGGGGGAUGGGCUCGCGGCCUAUCAGCUUGUUGGUGGGGUAAUGGCCUACCAAGGCGUCGACGGGUAGCCGGCCUGAGAGGGCGACCGGCCACACUGGGACUGAGACACGGCCCAGACUCCUACGGGAGGCAGCAGUGGGGAAUAUUGCACAAUGGGCGAAAGCCUGAUGCAGCGACGCCACGUGAGGGAUGACGGCCUUCGGGUUGUAAACCUCUUUCAGCAGGGAAGAAGCGAGAGUGACGGUACCUGCAGAAGAAGCGCCGGCUAACUACGUGCCAGCAGCCGCGGUAAUACGUAGGGCGCAAGCGUUGUCCGGAAUUAUUGGGCGUAAAGAGCUCGUAGGCGGUCUGUCGCGUCUGGUGUGAAAUCCCAUGGCUCAACCAUGGGCUUGCAUCGGGUACGGGCAGACUAGAGUGCUGUAGGGGAGACUGGAAUUCCUGGUGUAGCGGUGGAAUGCGCAGAUAUCAGGAGGAACACCGAUGGCGAA
rnacentral:rRNA from 1 species